AGAACGAACGCUGGCGGCAUGCCUAACACAUGCAAGUCGAACGAGACCUUCGGGUCUAGUGGCGCACGGGUGCGUAACGCGUGGGAAUCUGCCCUUGGGUUCGGGAUAACAGUUGGAAACGACUGCUAAUACCGGAUGAUGACUUCGGUCCAAAGAUUUAUCGCCCAGGGAUGAGCCCGCGUAGGAUUAGCUAGUCGGUGAGGUAAAGGCUCACCAAGGCGACGAUCCUUAGCUGGUCUGAGAGGAUGAUCAGCCACACUGGGACUGAGACACGGCCCAGACUCCUACGGGAGGCAGCAGGUGGGAAUAUUGGACAAGUAGGGACCGAAAGCCUGACUACCAGACAAUGGCCGCGGUGAGUAGGAUAGGAACGGUACCGUUAGGGUUAGUAAAGGUCUUUACCGUUUUACCCGGAUUA
rnacentral:rRNA from 1 species